CCGCCAGAGUGGGAGACAGGUCUGUAGUUCCGACAAGGUCCGCUCCAGUGUCGACGCGGUGGACACGGCUGCGGGGGCCAGGGGACAACAGCUGCUUUAAAGCCGGGAGCAACCCACAGGUGGCCUGUCAGGGAAACGGACGUCCGUGACGUCAUCCUGAAGGUCAAACAGGAGAAUAAGCUUAUCUGUGAAGAGAUACACAAGCGGCAGACUGGAAGGGAGAUUCCACCGUAUUUGUAGUAGUUACAGAAAAUUUCAAACAUAAGCAAAGCCAAUGCACUAAAAGCAGUCAAAAAACAAUAAACACAAAAAAGAGAUGAUAUUUGCGUGGAGACCCGAAUAAUCUGAAGGAGGCUUAUGCAAGAAAAUGUGGUGGGAGUCUGUGCGGAAAAGAUGAGGCAAAGGCUGGAGGGAUCCAAGAGCGUGUAAGAGACUGAAUGAG
rnacentral:lncRNA from 1 species